rnacentral:lncRNA from 1 species
GGCGAUCAGGUGUGGGUGAGGGGUUGUGAGAGUACUUGCAUCACUCGCUAGGCUGCAUCGGGGAAGGCUGGCGAUUUACAAAGCAGCUAGAAGGUGGAAAUUUCUGGUGAGAAGAAAGAAAAGUGUACGCCACCGAUUGGGGGAUGGGUGUAUGGAGGAUCGCAAACCAUGGCUUACUUCUUUCAGCUCCCUGUCUGCUCUGCCUUGACCACCAGCAUGGGCCGACUCAGACCGCGAAUGUAUUACUAUGAAUAUCAAUCAUGAAGGUGUUUUGAAACUCACUAAAAUGGAGAAGAAGUUCUUAAGGAAACAGAGUAAAGCCAGACAUGUGUUGCUGAAACAUGAAGGCAUCCAGGCAGUCUCUUAUCCCACUCAG